CUCUUGGGACUCUAAUUUUGAAAUUUACCAGACUAAGUAAGGGAGCAGCCAUUUUAGUUUUCAGUUUGCACAGCUCUCUCAAGCUUUAAGCUCCAUGUGACUGCCACUCCAAUUUUCUUUAAUGUUCAUAUCUUCGAAAGCAUUGUCAUUUCACUCUCAUUUGAAGCAAAUUGGAGUAAACAUCAAGAGUUUUGAAAA